UCCCUGGUGGACUAGUGGCUAGCAUGUGGUACUUUCAUUGCUGCGGUCCGGGUUCAAUUCCCGGUCAGGGAA